GUGGGGAAUAUUGGACAAUGGGCGAAAGCCUGAUCCAGCCAUGCCGCGUGUGUGAAGAAGGUCUUCGGAUUGUAAAGCACUUUAAGUUGGGAGGAAGGGCAUUAACCUAAUACGUUAGUGUUUUGACGUUACCGACAGAAUAAGCACCGGCUAACUUCGUGCCAGCAGCCGCGGUAAUACGAAGGGUGCAAGCGUUAAUCGGAAUUACUGGGCGUAAAGCGCGCGUAGGUGGUUCGUUAAGUUGGAUGUGAAAGCCCCGGGCUCAACCUGGGAACUGCAUCGAAAACUGGCGAGCUAGAGUACGGUAGAGAGUGGUGGAAUUUCCUGUGUAGCGGUGAAAUGCGUAGAUAUAGGAAGGAACACCAGUGGCGAAGGCGACCACCUGGACUGAUACUGACACUGAGGUGCGAAAGCGUGGGGAGCAAACAGGAUUAGAUACCCUAGUAGUCC
rnacentral:rRNA from 1 species